rnacentral:lncRNA from 1 species
GCUGUUUUUGGUUAUUAUCUUGAAUAUUAUUAUAGAUAGAGAUUAACUGUAAACAGCAAUAAUGUUCAGCAAUGUAAGAUUUACAAAUAAGUCAACAUGACUGAAAUGGUCAAUUGACCCCUAAGGAGUUAUUGUCCUUUAUAGUCAAUUUUUAACAAUUUUCAUAAAAUUUGUAAAUAUUUACUAACAUUUUCCACUGAAACUACUGGCCAAGUUCAUUAUAGAUAGAGAUAAUUUUAAGAAGCAAGAAUGUUCAGUAAAGUAAGAUGUACAAACACAUCACCAUCACCAAAACACAGUUUUGUCAUGAAUCCAUCCUCUUCCUUUGUUUAAUAUUCACAAAGACCAAGGUGAGCGACACAGGCUCUUUAGAGCCUCUAGUUUUUCAAUCCUGGUUGCUGUUUUUGUCACCUGC